rnacentral:rRNA from 1 species
CCUACGGGAGGCAGCAGUCGGGAAUCUUGCACAAUGGGCGAAAGCCUGAUGCAGCAACACCGUGUGAGCGAUGAAGGCCCUAGGGUCGUAAAGCUCUGUUGUUAGGGACGAAGGGCGAAGGGUUAAUAGCCCGUGGAGGUGACGGUACCUUCAGAAGGAGCCCCGGCUAACUACGUGCCAGCAGCCGCGGUAAUACGUAGGGGGCAAGCGUUGUCCGGAAUCAUUGGGCGUAAAGAGCGUGUAGGCGGCCCGAUAAGUCCGCUGUGAAAGUCCAGGGCUCAACCCUGGAAUGCCGGUGGAUACUGUCAAGCUAGAGGAUGGUAGAGGCCAGUGGAAUUCCCAGUGUAGCGGUGAAAUGCGCAGAUAUUGGGAGGAACACCAGUAGCGAAGGCGGCUGGCUGGGCCAUUCCUGACGCUGAGACGCGAAAGCUAGGGGAGCGAACAGGAUUAGAUACCCUGGUAGUCCUAGCCGUAAACGAUGAACACUAGGUGUGGGGGGAGUCGAAUCCCUCCGUGCCGAAGCCAACGCGUUAAGUGUUCCGCCUGGGGAGUACGGCCGCAAGGCUAAAACUCAAAUGAAUUGACGGGG